ensembl:snoRNA SNORA62 Small nucleolar RNA SNORA62/SNORA6 family
UCUGUACAUCACUUGAGCUUAGAGUUGAGGCCUCUGACUGGCCAACGGACUCACAAGUGUAGGUAAUGAGCUACACAAGGGGCACGUCUUCUGCUAACACCACAAGGGUCUCUGGCCCAAGGAGGGAAGUUUGAUAGUGAUUCUUACUACAAGU